GACGAACGCUGGCGGCGUGCUUAACACAUGCAAGUCGAACGGAAAGGCCCUGCUUUUGUGGGGUGCUCGAGUGGCGAACGGGUGAGUAACACGUGAGUAACCUGCCCUUGACUUUGGGAUAACUUCAGGAAACUGGGGCUAAUACCGGAUAGGAGCUCCUGCUGCAUGGUGGGGGUUGGAAAGUUUCGGCGGUUGGGGAUGGAUGCGCGGCUUAUCAGCUUGUUGGUGGGGUAGUGGCUUACCAAGGCUUUGACGGGUAGCCGGCCUGAGAGGGUGACCGGCCACAUUGGGACUGAGAUACGGCCCAGACUCCUACGGGAGGCAGCAGUGGGGAAUAUUGCACAAUGGGCGGAAGCCUGAUGCAGCAACGCCGCGUGCGGGAUGACGGCCUUCGGGUUGUAAACCGCUUUCGCCUGUGACGAAGCGUGAGUGACGGUAAUGGGUAAAGAAGCACCGGCUAACUACGUG
rnacentral:rRNA from 1 species